GCUUCCUAACUUUCUCUCUCUAGAUUUCUCUCUCCUAAGUGUAAGAAAUGGUGAAUUUGAGCUUGAUUCCUUCUUCUCCUUGGUGUUAGCUGGUUUGGAACCUUGAGGGACAGCCUCUAGAGCUAAGGGGGGAGGUGUUGUGACAGAGUUCUUCAUCCUUACUUCAGAGAAAGGUUAAAGAGAGAGGCUUAGAAAGCUGGUUGAGGAGUGGUUCCAGCAGUGAGAAAGGAAUACUUUGCUAUAAUUUCUCUGUUCUAAUUCAAGGAUAAGCUGAUUCGAAGCCUUAAGAAGCGAGGGCAAUAGAUCGAUCUCGGCUGAUAUUUAGAAGUCUUUGGAGAUUAAACUGAGUGCCAUGGACUGAAUCAAGACAGGGAUCUAAGCUUUAACCUGACCUAAGAGUAUUUGGUAGUUCUCGAUUGACUUCGGGGAACUUACGAAAGUGGACUUUGAUGUUUUAAGCUGGAGUAAACAUGGGCUAAAGCUAUAACUGGCAGGUUCGCAGCGGAUGGUGUGUGUAGAUCUCGGCUGAUGUUGAAAGGCUUUUGAAGCUGAAAUUUGAAGCAUUCAUCUGAUCUGAACCAGGGGUUCCACUAGCAAAGGGUACAAGGGCUUUUGGGGAAUUGUGAAGAUUCAUACUUGCAGGUUGGACGUGAAUCGUCGACUAAUAGAGCCAUCUACAGGAGAGGCUAGGGAUCGUGGCAAGGGAGUCGCGUCUAGCUAGAC